UACACUCCUACGGGAGGCAGCAGUGGGGAAUAUUGGACAAUGGGCGCAAGCCUGAUCCAGCCAUGCCGCGUGAGUGAUGAAGGCCCUAGGGUUGUAAAGCUCUUUCACCGGUGAAGAUAAUGACGGUAACCGGAGAAGAAGCCCCGGCUAACUUCGUGCCAGCAGCCGCGGUAAUACGAAGGGGGCUAGCGUUGUUCGGAUUUACUGGGCGUAAAGCGCACGUAGGCGGACUAUUAAGUCAGGGGCGAAAUCCCGGGGCUCAACCCCGGAACUGCCUUUGAUACUGGUAGUCUUGAGUUCGAGAGAGGUGAGUGGAAUUCCGAGUGUAGAGGUGAAAUUCGUAGAUAUUCGGAGGAACACCAGUGGCGAAGGCGGCUCACUGGCUCGAUACUGACGCUGAGGUGCGAAAGCGUGGGGAGCAAACAGGAUUAGAAACCCCGGUAGUCCCAUGA
rnacentral:rRNA from 1 species